rnacentral:lncRNA from 1 species
UUUUUUGUUUUGUUUUGCUUUUUUUUGUUGUUGGGUUUUUUUAAAUUCCUCAAAUGAAAACUUCUGCUGAAAACAAAAACAACCAACCUCCUUCCUUCCCACCCAACGCCCAACUGAUUUAUAGUCGAAAGUGUCUCCGGCUAUACAACAAAAUAUGCUAUCAAACAGGAAAUGGAAAAGGCCAUUUCUUUCUGAAGGAAGGGGAAGAAUCACAUCACAUUCCUAUAGAGACAGGAAAUUUGGUCAUCAGGAUCCAAACCAAGCCCAGGGAACUACUGUCGUCUGGGCUGCACUCUUCUGGAACACAGGGACAAACCUAGCUGCUCUUGAGUCAAGCCAUCUCGUUAAGGGGAAAGCAAGCACCCUGUGCUCUAAUGCCAAUCAGAACCGUGUUCCACAACUAUCCUAAUUUUUGAUGAUGAACAGAAGGAAAGGAACCCAAACAUAAUGCUUGCAAAAU